rnacentral:rRNA from 1 species
GACGAACGCUGGCGGCGUGCCUAAUACAUGCAAGUUGAGCGCUGAAGGUUGGUACUUGUACCAACUGGAUGAGCAGCGAACGGGUGAGUAACGCGUGGGGAAUCUGCCUUUGAGCGGGGGACAACAUUUGGAAACGAAUGCUAAUACCGCAUAAAAACUUUAAACACAAGUUUUAAGUUUGAAAGAUGCAAUUGCAUCACUCAAAGAUGAUCCCGCGUUGUAUUAGCUAGUUGGUGAGGUAAAGGCUCACCAAGGCGAUGAUACAUAGCCGACCUGAGAGGGUGAGCGGCCACAUUGGGACUGAGACACGGCCCAAACUCCUACGGGAGGCAGCAGUAGGGAAUCUUCGGCAAUGGACGAAAGUCUGACCGAGCAGCGCCGCGUGAGUGAAGAAGGUUUUCGGAUCGUAAAACUCUGUUGGUAGAGAAGAACGUUGGUGAGAGUGGAAAGCUCAUCAAGUGACGGUAACUACCCAGAAAGGGACGGCUAACUACGUG